CACUUCUAAGGAAGGCAGCAGGCGCGCAAAUUACCCAAUCCUGACUCAGGGAGGUAGUGACAAGAAAUAACAAUAAACCGGCUUAUGCCGGUUUAAUUGGAAUGAGUACAAUUUAAACAUCUUAACGAGGAACAAUUGGAGGGCAAGUCUGGUGCCAGCAGCCGCGGUAAUUCCAGCUCCAAUAGCGUAUACUAAAGUUGUUGCAGUUAAAAAGCCCGUAGUUGGAUUUCUGUGGGGACGGAGCGGCCGGCCGCAACUCGCGGUUCGAGCUGGCGCUUUCCCUACAUCCUGCCGCGAACCGUGCUACCAUUAGUUUGGUGGCGCCGGGGAUCGGCUCGAUUACUUUGAGAAAAAUAGAGUGUUCAAAGCAGGCCACAUGCCUUGAAUAAGUUAGCAUGGAAUAAUAACUAAGGACUUCGGUUCUAUUUUGUUGGUGUUCGGGACUGAAGUAAUGAUUGAUAGGGACAGUUGGGGCGGUCUGUAUUCCAAAGCGAGAGGUGAAAUUCUUAGACCUUCGGAAGACAAACAGCUGCGAAAGCGUUCCGCAAGGAUGUUCCCUUUGAUCAAGAACGAAAGUUGGGGGAUCGAAGGCGAUCAGAUACCGUCGUAGUCUCAACUAUAAACUAUACCAGCUAGGGAUCGGCCAACGUUAUUUCAAACCGACUUGGUCGGCACCUUAUGAGAAAUCAAAGCAUCUGGGUUCCGGGGGGAGUAUGGUCGCAAGGCUGAAACUUAAAGGAAUUGACGGAAGGGCACCACCAGCCGUGGAGCCUGUGGCUUAAUUUGACUCAACACGGGAAAACUUACCAGGUCCAGACAUAGUAAGGAUUGACAGAUUGAUAGCUCUUUCUUGAUUCUGUGGGUGGUGGUGCAUGGCCGUUCUUAGUUGGUGGAGUGAUUUGUCUGGUUAAUUCCGUUAACGAACGAGACCCCAGCCUGCUAAAUAGCGCGCGUGAGCUUUGCUCGCGGCGAGCUUCUUAGAGGGACUCUGAUGCGCGAUAGCACAUGGAAGUUUGGGGCAAUAACAGGUCUGUGAUGCCCUUAGAUGUUCUGGGCCGCACACGGGCUACACUGGCGCCUGCAACGAGCAUAUCAGCUGGCCCGAGAGGGUCUUGGCUAAUCUUUUGAACCGGCGCCGUGCUUGGGAUUGACCUUUGCAAUUGUUGGUCAUGCAACGAGGAAUGCCUUGUAAACGCGAGUCAUCAGCUCGCAUUGAAUACGUCCCUGCCCUUUGUACACACCGCCCGUCGCUCCUACCGAUGAAUGUUCCGAUGAAAUUUUCGGAGAGCACCUGUGAACUUGGCUCUGCCUUGCGAACGGGAGGCUCAAAGUCACUUAAAUCUGAACAUUUCGAGG
rnacentral:rRNA from 1 species